rnacentral:rRNA from 1 species
GACAGAGGGGGCUAGCGUUGUUCGGAAUCACUGGGCGUAAAGGGCGCGUAGGCGGCCAUGUAAGUUAGAGGUGAAAGCCUGGAGCUUAACUCCAGAAUUGCCUUUAAUACUGCUUGGCUAGUGUUCGAAAGAGGGUAGUGGAAUUCCUAGUGUAGAGGUGAAAUUCGUAGAUAUUAGGAGGAACACCAGUUGCGAAGGCGGCUACCUGGUUCGAUACAGACGCUGAGGCGCGAAAGCGUGGGGAGCAAACAGG